ACACCUCAAUUGAGUGCUUCUAACCCAACCUGUCUUCAACGACAUUCGCAACAUCCGCACAUCUUCCUACCUGGCCGUACCACCUAGCCGGCAUGCAGUAGGCAGCCUAGAAAUUGGUUUCUGUAUUCCCCGGGGAAAUCGGGCUCUUGCACAUCCGAGGAAGGACCGAUGCGAAGCGAGGUCACGUAAGAUAACUGUUGCAGCGCACAAGUUAGUAAAAACAUAUUAGAAGUUUUACGACACGUCAAGCGACACACUAUUGACAAUCAUUUUUUUGGAAGUGGAAGACAUCGCGAUACCUGUGAACCCGGAGAUUGACCUAAUAAAUUUAGCGAAUGGUAAAAGCAUGGAGAGAACUGGGUCGAAGCCGAAGACGGGUUCAUCAAAAUGCUAUUGGCUCGGCACGGAUCACCGGACGCUGUAACACAAACUACCAUCUCAACUUCCGGAAAGGUGUACACGUGGCGCACGUAUAGCAGAUCGUCGAUUCAUUACGGAAUUUGGUGCGGAAAGGAGAGUCGUCUGUCUCUUGACGGCGCAUUAGACGCAUCGCUGCAGCUUGCUGGAAGUUAACCCUGCUGACCAACACAUCUGAUUCGUUCCCAAGAGUGUAUCAGUUCUUCCUCUGCACGUGCAUUUACAUUCACGUAUGAGUUUUAUUGAGUUUAAAACCCGCGCAAAUUGACUAUCGCAAACUUGUAAGUAUCAUUCCAAACUGUUUUUCAAACUGUCUAAUUCAAUUUCUAGAUAGGUAUCACCAAAAGCAAUUUACUGAAAACUAAUUUCCAUAAAACUGAUCUCGCGCUUGUAAUUGUUUUAUUAAUUGGUACAGAGCGCGUAACGAUAUUAAGUGUGAGAAUAUUGAAUAAUCUAAUAAUUUCAUUUGCCUUAUACACUUUCGAUAUUACGUUACGUAGUCGCAAAUUUGCAGAUAUUUCUUUUGAGGAUAAACUUGAUGGUUUGGCAUAAUUUAUACGUAUACUGCUUUGAAAGCAUGCUCAAAUCUCAUUCAGAUUAUGAUAAAGUUUAUAACGACUGUAAAGAUGGUAAAGAUGGAAACGGAGGACACAUUUUGGAUAGACAAAGUUACCAAUGCUAAAUCCUAACAGAAUUUUCGAGAUUAUCUCCCCGAUAUUUACGAGAUUAUCCGCGUAACCUAAUUUCUCCUUUCUCUUUCCCCCUCAUCGUUUUCUCCUAAUAAACCAGAGCUUUUAAGAAAGUUCUCAUUAAAACUUCAAUCCAUUACAUGGAUUAGUUAAUUUUAAGGAUAUAAAACUAUAAUGUUGUCGAGAAAACUCGUAAAAUCAUUAAUUGUAA